AGUUAAGUUGAGUUUUCAAAAAGAAUGAGCCAACUUAGAACUCAUAAAAAUGGCAAAUAGAUCAGUACACAAAAUUCAUUAAUCUACAGUUUUUAUUUAUGAGUUAUGUGAAUAAGGAAUAAUCAAGCCCUGCUCAGUGUCCAUCAAACGCUACUCCAAUCCUGAACUUGCUUUUAUUUGAGCUUAUCUCUUGUAACUUAGAAAUCCAUUAUCAAUCAAGCAUUAUCAGUAUGGGCAUUGCAAACUAAACUGAUUUAAAACAUGCUUAAAGAUAUAAAAACUAGUUCGCUUAUCAAAUCUGCUAUUAUCCUAGAUAAACACACUUUACUUGCGUAGGAUCUACUAGGCUAGAAAGAGGAGAAGAUGGAAUAUAGUUUAUGAAUUCACCUACAAUGUUUAACAUAUGCCAUUGCCAAUAUCUCAUAACAGGGACUUCAAGUAGCCUGCUGAGAACCAUAGUUAACUUCUUCUUAGGUGGCUCAUUAAGUCCUAUAAUCAUAGCCCACACUUAAUACACACAUAAAAUGUCCCUUAACUACAUCCCAGUUGUUCAAUGCCAGUGACUCGCAUCAAGAGGUAAAAGUUUUGUUGGUUGAUUCGCCAACCAAAUAUCCAGCAUCUAGUUAUUUUUAAGCACUCAAAAAACCAUUCACAAGUCUAAACUUAAUAAAGCUCCCACAUAGAACUUAGGAGAAGCUUCUAGAACCCCACAGAGCUUUAUAUACUGUAUAGAAGAUUCGAAGAUAGGCUUUCAGCUAAGAAAGUACUUUCUUGAGAAAACAGAGACUUUUGGAAAAUUAUUGGAAGUCAAAACAGGAAAAGCUACAAAAAAAAACUGUCUUAAAG
rnacentral:misc_RNA from 1 species